AAUACAGUGAAAUAUAAAUAACCAAAUGAAAUGUCAAGCGAUCUACCUCACAUUUAAUAGCUAUAAAUAGUGCGGGAAGUACACAAUUCCUUUUCAUUUAGUUUCAUUUGGACUUCUUUGCUGUUUCCUUUGAGAAAGGAUUUAGGACUCCACCCAUCGGGAAUACAAAACCUCCUGGCAAGUGUCACUUAAAGGCAUAUCGUUUGUAUUUUUCUGGCCCGAAUUCUUUUUGCACCGAAACUGCAAUUCGAGAAAUGCAGCCAACGUUUUUCCGCCAGCACCAAAACACUUUUCUUUCUUUCAUUUCGGCUCUCAGUCCCUUCCAGCGCUUUCAAUUUGUGUGUACAUAAAUUUCGAAAUGGACUUCUCGUGUUGGGGCGCCCGACAGCAGCACACAAAAAAAAGUGUUUAAAAAAAAUGCAAACAGAAAUACAAAAGUCGGGGAAAAUAAAUAAAAAUGGAGUGGAUUGGAGUGGAGUGGACCAUUGCGGAGCGGAGCGGAGAAAGCCCAAAAGAAAUGGCGAGCGGAAAGAAGUGGCCAUGAAUGCAGUGACAAGAACAACAACAGCGACAGCUGGAGAUAGUAUUCCUUGUUCCAUGGCGAAACUGCAUAAAUAUCGCCACAAGGACCCUGGACAAACGCCAAUCGAAAGUUGCGUUGGCUGGCCGAAAUGAAUCAAACUCCCGCAGUGCCACAAUGUGGGCCAAAUUCUUAGCAUUCAGCUCGAUGGUUGUAUAACUUCAAGUCUUGACGAAAAGGGCGAAGCUUUUCCUUUGAUUGUGUGGCGAUUUCGUUGGCCAAUGGAGCAUGAAAUUACAGAGGGGAGUGGCGAUGGCAAGGGGGCCGGUACUUGUGUGAACAUGGAAAAUGCUCACAUAACCAUGCACAAAAUACACUGAGAAAAAG